CCCCAGCUUCCUCUUCUUCCUCCUGCUGCUGCUCCUGCUCCAGCUGCAGUUCCAAAGUCUGGGGGUUGAGAGGCCCGUUCACUGGCAUGGUUUUCCUCUACACUUCACCAACCGGAAGUCACUUAUGGGAACUCCUGGAGGUUACCCACACCUCUGCUGCUUAAUCUAUAGCCUUGUUCCCUGCCAUGACUUCUUCCUUAAGACAUGUGUCUGGCCUCUGAAAAUAAAACCACAUUUGGUUUCAUAUCUGCACCCUGUAGCUAGACCCAGACUUGCCUGAAUCCUGGGUCAGCUCCACAGUGUUCAACCUGAGACCCACAGGACACCCACAACAUGAAGUGGACAAAAAAGGAAAAAAGAAUUUUUUUAAAGAGUGAAAUAGUUUCAUCCCAAUGGACAAAGAAAAAGGCUUGAUGUUAAAGGCUAUUGGUGCUGAUACAUUCAUGCCAGAUUAAGAAAAUUGCUGAAGCUGAGGAUAAUCUUGGGAACCUCCUGAACUACAACACUACAAAAAUGAAGUGCAUUAAUUUGUAUGGGAUUUUAUUUUCCUUGUUCUCCUCAGCAGAAGGGUAUCAUUCAGAAAGUAUGGCAUCUACUAAUUUAAAAAUAUGACAAAUUUAAUAUGAAAAGAGAAUAAGAGAAAAUGCAUUACCUGUUCUUGUCACACAAGAGAGAUGAUGUUCUCAAAUAAAAUAGGAUAGUUUUUGAAGAAGAGUGGAUGAUCAGUCCUAGGUUUCAGAAAAAUAGAUACUGUGGCAAAGCAAAAUAUGCAUGAAAGGAAGGAGAUUUAGGAGUUUUAUAAUGUACUAUCUUACAAGGAAAGGGUGUCCAUUUUCACCAUCUCUAAUCAACAUUAUAUUGGAGGUCCUGGCCAGUGUACCAAGAGGAAAAAAAAAAAAGUGACAUUAGGAGAAAAGAAGAAAUUAGCCUUUUGGUUGUUGUGUUGUUUUUGUUUUCAGAUGUUUUAAUUAUGUAGAAAGAAAACCCUGCAAAAUUUUCUAAAAAGAUUUUUAGAAAGAGCAUUUUUAGCAACAUCAUAAGAUACAUGGUUAAUAUGCAAAACUUUAUUGUAUUUUUAUGUAUUAGCAGUAACCAAUUAAAAGUAAAAUUGAAAGUCAUUUUAUAAUAGAGUCAAAAACAUAAUGCAUACGAUAGUACAUUUAGCAAAAGAUGUCAAAUAUAAUUACAUUAAAAAUUAUAAAAUAUUGCUGAGAAACAUCAAUGAAGAUCUAAAUAAAUGGAGAGAUAUACCACGUUCAUGGACUAGAAGACUCAUCAUAGUUAAGAUAUCAGCUAUCUUCAGUAGAUAUAUAGAUUUCACACACUAUCAAUUGUAAUAACCUCAAAGACUUUUGUUUUGGGUAAGUGUUGACUAGUUGAUUAAAAAAAUUUAUAUGGUCUGUAGAAGAAACUUUAUGUUAAUAUCCAAAUAAAUUUUUUAAACUUAAAAAAAAUAUAUGGAGCUACAAAGAACCUGAAUAUCCAAAGAAGUUUCAGAUGGAGCUACAAAGAACCUGAAUAUCCAAAGAAGUUUCAGAAAAGUAUAACAAAGUUGAAGAACACUUGUUACCUGAUGUAAUCAAUUAUAAAUCUAUACCAAUCAAACAUUGAGCUACUGGCAUAAGAUUGAACAAAUAGAGAAAUGAAACAGAAUAAAUAAGCUACAU